rnacentral:rRNA from 1 species
ACGUACACUCCUGCGGGAGGCAGCAGUGGGGAAUAUUGGACAAUGGGCGCAAGCCUGAUCCAGCCAUGCCGCGUGAGUGAUGAAGGCCCUAGGGUUGUAAAGCUCUUUCACCGGUGAAGAUAAUGACGGUAACCGGAGAAGAAGCCCCGACUAACUUCGUGCCAGCAGCCGCGGUAAUACGAAGGGGGCUAGCGUUGUUCGGAUUUACUGGGCGUAAAGCGCACGUAGGCGGACUAUUAAGUCAGGGGUGAAAUCCCGGGGCUCAACCCCGGAACUGCCUUUGAUACUGGUAGUCUUGAGUUCGAGAGAGGUGAGUGGAAUUCCGAGUGUAGAGGUGAAAUUCGUAGAUAUUCGGAGGAACACCAGUGGCGAAGGCGGCUCACUGGCUCGAUACUGACGCUGAGGUGCGAAAGCGUGGGGAGCAAACAGGAUUAGAAACCCCAGUAGUCCCAUGA